CCUAGUUGGAAGGCCGAAGAUGCCUUUGCCUGCUCAUCCACGUACGGGAGCGGAUCAACCCGGUGGCGCCGCCGACCUCCGGCGAGCCGCCGGCGAUGGCACCGCCGACAACCGCGCCACCGUGGUGACCUUACCGCCGCCGGAUUCAGUGGCUACCCCGGUAGCACCUACACGAAGGUUUUGAUCCUCAAAAAAGCUUAGGAUUUUCCCGUUCUUCCAAUCCGUGUGAGGACUAUGGAAUAAAGGAUAUACAUGAUUUAGCUUUCUUAAUUAGCACUACAUGAUAGCAAUUUGGCACCUUUCAAUGGAAGAUGUGUAACUGGUAAAGGAUAACAAAAGGGUAGGAAGAUUGCACCAUCAAUGCCGAAACUUUUCAUCCCCAAACUGAAGAAAAAGGGCAUGAUAAACUAAGGCCCUGUUUAGAUCUUCCAAAAUGACAAAAGUUUUGCUAUUUUGUUGUACUUUUUGCCAUUUUGGAUCUAAACACUAGUAGUAAAAGUUGGCAAUUUGGUAUUUGGCAUUUGCUAGUCCAUAGUAGCAAAUUGUGCCAAAAAGUGCUUUGGGACCACUCCAUCUCUCUUUCUCUUUCUCACUUUAUUGCUAGAAUGGUAAAACUUUAACAUGCAUCUAAACACCAACUAGUACUUUUGCAAUGCCAAAACUUUUGCCAUUUGCCA